rnacentral:rRNA from 1 species
UACGUAGGGUGCGAGCGUUGUCCGGAAUUAUUGGGCGUAAAGAGCUCGUAGGCGGUUCAUCGCGUCGACUGUGAAAUCCCAAGGCUUAACCUUGGGUUGGCAGUUGAUACGGGUGGGCUAGAGUUCGGUAGGGGAGACUGGAAUUUCUGGUGUAGCGGUGGAAUGCGCAGAUAUCAGAAGGAACACCGGUGGCGAAGGCGAGUCUCUGGGCCGAUACUGACGCUGAGGAGCGAAAGCGUGGGGAGCGAACAGG